GGAGCAUCUGGGGGCAACGCUGUCUCCUCAUCCCUGGCUGUGACCAGGUUCAAAGGAAAGACCAUCUGUGGAACCACUUUGCAGAGAGGCGUGGUCCAAACGCAGAGUGCUAUUGUUUUUCCUCCCCUCUGUGGAUCCCAGGAGGCUGAUUCCAUCUGUGUUCGAAUGACAGACUUGCCCUUCCUGUGAUAAAAUGCGGGCUGCUGUCCCCACCCCAACUGGGUGCUUUCCAAAAAAAAACAUGCACAUACACAUGUACAGUGUCCCCACCUCCCCAAAACAACCCACCACUAUCUCCAGCUCUGCAGGCCUGCUCUGUGGAGGCUGGCAGGUUCCCCAUGUAUAAGGCCCCUUUUGGGCUGUGGGCAUCCUACUCCUUAUGUGGGCAGCAUCUGUGGAUGACAGGGAAGGAAGAAAGAUACAGAUACAGAUAAUACAGACCUUCCAGCGAUUGCCACAUUCAUUGCAUAAGACAAAGGUAGUCAUGGGCUCAUCAGCACUGCGUGUCUGCACCUGAGAGAAAAAGAGAACAGGGAUCACUCAUGAAGUCACUUUCCUGCUCUAGGACCUGCUAUGGCUCCCACUGUCUGUAGAAGUAGAUCCAAAUCCCAGAGGCUGGCACCAUUACUCCCACUCCACUUUGGCAAUUCCCUUAUCACUAAGAAUUCCAUUGUGUAUUCAUAUGUUUUCCAUCAGCGCACUUCCAGUAUCUCCCUGGCUCAACCUGACGUUUGCACUCUCACUCUUUGUUGUUGAUUCUUCCGAACUGAUGUGUCUUCUCUUGCUUCAAGACUCAUCUCCUACUGGAAAAAUGAACACAUCCUAUUGGAUGUACCUCUCUGAUCAGAACUGAGUGAGCUGGAAGCAACCUUAGGGAUCAUCCAGUUUGUUGUUUAUUUUACAGGUGGAAGAACUGAGACCCAGAGAGGAAAAGGGAUUUGAAGAUCAUUGGGGAUAUUUAAUAUUGUUUUCUAGUUUCUCAUCCCCUUAACCAGACCAUUCAGGUGCAGAAACCAGGUUUCCCACAGCAAAUCCCUGGUAUUUCCAGAUUUAACAAUUGCUAUUCUGAUUUUCUGCAGCCAACCCUGGAUGGCCAUGACAUGUAGCAAGUUGUUGCUUUGUGGACACUCAGCUAUGAACAUGUCAGCUGGAGUCUAUGGAGUUGGGGGAAGUCCCCCUGCUAAUGGGAAGUUGCCCCUGGCCACUGACCACAGUGAGUUAUCUGUCCAGACACUGCAUCCCAGACAGGCCUCCCCACCC